CGGAGACACAGGAGCUGGAUUUACGGGCAGGCUGCAGGGUGGGGGCGGGCCGUCCAGCCACCCUGUGACGCCCCCCGGCCCCGGGCCUCCACCUGGAGCCGGUGCUGAGUCGUUUGAUGCCUCAUUUCCCUCCCGGGUGCCUGCAGAUGUCCAGUGUCCUGCGGACCCCAACAAUUACUCUGAAAAUAAAAACACAGUGAAAGUGUGCACAGCAGACGGGCCGGCACUCAUGCAGCGAGCAGCUGAAUGCUCAGCCCUGCAAGCCCUGCCCCCGGCUCUCUGCCCCGGGGCCCAGGGCUCCUGCAGAACCCUCAGCCUGCUGUGGGACCAGCACCGCGAUCUGAGUCCACCACCUUUUCAUCUUCCCGCGCUGAGACCCUGUCCCCGUUAGACGCUCGCCCCCACCCCCAGCCUGGUGGACAUGAUCCGCGCUCAGUCUCCACGGGUCUGACGGCUCGGCCUGCUUCCUGUCAAUGGAAUCGCCCGGUACGUCCGCCCCCGGGGCCCACAGCCCGCGGCAUCCAGCACUCCGCGGGUUGUAGUUCAUUGACUAAUCGGCAGGAGCAGACGGGGCCAGAGAACGGGACCGCCGGAAGCCAGAGACUGAUCUGGCCUCCAUUAGCACCACCUCCUACUCCCUUCGCCAAGGCCUGUGGAGCCCGUAUUCUGGCAGAUUCCAUAUUGCGGGUGCUCCUGGUCUACACAGCUGAGCAGCCAGCUUGCCCUGAAGCACGUGCUGGGGCGCACGGUGAAGACAGAAGAGAAAGAAAGUGGCCUUCCCAAGAAAGGGGGAACUCUGCCAACAGAUGGCCUUCAGACCAGACUGCAACCUCGGCUCUUCCCCGGGUCCCCCUCAACCUGCCGCUCCUGCCCCAACCUGUCCCCCUGCAGACUCCAGAAUCUCA